rnacentral:rRNA from 1 species
CACUGAGAUUAAAGAUUUAUCGCUGUGGGAUGGGCCUGCGUUCUAUUAGCUUGUUGGUAGGGUAAUGGCCUACCAAGGCUACGAUGGAUAGCUGGUCUGAGAGGAUGAUCAGCCACACUGGCACUGAGACACGGGCCAGACUCCUACGGGAGGCAGCAGUGAGGAAUAUUGGGCAAUGGGCGAAAGCCUGACCCAGCAACGCCGCGUGGGUGAUGACGCUCUGAGGAGUGAAAAGCCCUGUUAGGGGGGAAGAAACUUCCCGUUUCGGGAACUGACGGUACCUCCAAAGAAAGCUCCGGCUAACUCCGUGCCAGCAGCCGCGGUAACACGGGGGGAGCAAGCGUUGUCCGGAUUUACUGGGCGUAAAGAGCGUGUAGGCGGGACAAUUAGUCAACUGUGAAAUCUUUCGGCUUAACCGGAAACCUGCAGCUGAUACUGUUGUCCUUGAGUUCGGAUAGGGAAGUGGAAUUCCUGGUGUAGCGGUGAAAUGCGUAGAUAUCAGGAAGAACACCAGUAGCGAAGGCGGCUUCCUGGUCCGUAACUGACGCUGAGACGCGAAAGCGUGGGGAGCAAACAGGAUUAGAUACCCUGGUAGUCCACGCCGUAAACGAUGGGCACUAGGUGUUGGAGGAUUCGACCCCUUCAGUGCCGAAGCUAACGCAUUAAGUGCCCCGCCUGGGGAGUACGGUCCAAGACUGAAACUCAAAGGAAUAGACGGGGGCCCGCACAAGCGGUGGAGCAUGUGGUUUAAUUCGAUGCAACGCGAAGAACCUUACCUGGGCUUGAACUGCAGUGGAAAUCCUGAGAAAUCAGGGCCUCCUUCGGGACUGCUGUAGAGGUGCUGCAUGGCUGUCGUCAGCUCGUGUCGUGAGAUGUUGGGUUAAGUCCCGCAACGAGCGCAACCCUUGUCCUUAGUUGCCAUCAGAUAAUGCUGGGCACUCUAAGGAGACUGCCCCGGAUGACGGGGAGGAAGGUGGGGAUGACGUCAAGUCCUCAUGGCCCUUACGUCCAGGGCUACACACGUGCUACAAGGCCGGAACAGUGGGAUGCAAUACCGCGAGGUGGAGCAAAUCCUCAAAACCGGUCUCAGUUCGGAUUGGAGUCUGCAACUCGACUCCAUGAAGUUGGAAUCGCUAGUAAUCGCGGAUCAGCAGGUCGCGGUGAAUACGUUCCCGGGCCUUGUACACACCGCCCGUCACGCCAUGAAAGUCGGGAGUACCAGAAGCCGGUGGCCUAACUUCGGAAGGAACCGUCGAAGGUAAGAUCGAUAAUUGGGGCGAAGUCG